GUUACAGACAACAGGUCUCUCCCUAGACUAGUUACUGGUUACAGACAACAGGUCUCUCCCUAGACUAGUUACUGGUUACAGACAACAGGUCUCUCCCUAGACUAGUUAUAGGUUACAGACAACAUGUCUCUCCCUAGACUAGUUACUGGUUACAGACAACAGACUGCAACGCAGGGCUUGGGUCAAGAGAAGUGUUGUGUAGGAUGCCGUUUGAGGUGUGGCACUAUGGAAAGCAGCGUCUGGGAGGUCAAGGGUCAAAGACCACCCAGGCAGAGGUCAAGGGUGGGUGACCUCACUCUCUUUAACAGUACUCAACAUAGAGGGGGGCGGGAUCUGACUGAUGGGACAGGUUUCAACAGCCGGCGUCUGUGAUUGGACAGCUAUCCAUUCACUCACUCCCUGUGGGGAAUAACAUUGCACUGUCUGUCAAAUAAAUAUUCAACCUAGUCCACCCGGUUCUAUUGGAGAGAAAAGAUCAGAACAUUCCAGUUCCGUUGGAGAGAACAGAUGAGAACAUUCUGGUUACAUUUAACACACCAGAACAUUCUGGUUCUGUUGGAAGGAACACACCAGAACAUUCCGG
ensembl:lncRNA